rnacentral:rRNA from 1 species
GACGAACGCUGGCGGCGUGCUUUACACAUGCAAGUCGAACGGUGAAGGUGGAGCUUGCUCCGCCGGAUCAGUGGCGAACGGGUGAGUAACACGUGGGCAACCUGCCCCUAACUUUGGGAUAACUACUCGAAAGAGUAGCUAAUACCGGAUAUGAAGUCUGUAGGCAUCUAUGGAUUUGGAAAGUUUUUCGGUUAGGGAUGGGCCCGCGGCCUGUCAGCUUGUUGGGGAGGUAGUGGCUCACCAAGGCGACGACGGGUAGCCGGCCUGAGAGGGCGACCGGCCACACUGGGACUGAGACACGGCCCAGACUCCUACGGGAGGCAGCAGUGGGGAAUAUUGCGCAAUGGGCGAAAGCCGGACGCAGCAACGCCGCGUGCGGGAUGAAGGCCUUCGGGUUGUAAACCGCUUUCAGCAGGGAAGAAGCGAAAGUGACGGUACCUGCAGAAGAAGCACCGGCUAACUACGUGCCAGCAGCCGCCGUAA